rnacentral:rRNA from 1 species
UGGGGAAUAUUGGACAAUGGGCGCAAGCCUGAUCCAGCCAUGCCGCGUGAGUGAUGAAGGCCUUAGGGUUGUAAAGCUCUUUCGCCGGUGAAGAUAAUGACGGUAACCGGAGAAGAAGCCCGGCUAACUUCGUGCCAGCAGCCGCGGUAAUACGAAGGGGGCUAGCGUUGCUCGGAAUCACUGGGUGUAAAGCGCACGUAGGCGGAUCGUUAAGUCAGGGGGUGAAAUCCUGGAGCUCAACUCCAGAACUGCCCUUGAUACUGGCGAUCUCGAGUUCGAGAGAGGUUGGUGGAACUCCGAGUGUAGAGGUGAAAUUCGUAGAUAUUCGGAAGAACACCAGUGGCGAAGGCGGCCAACUGGCUCGAUACUGACGCUGAGGUGCGAAAGCGUGGGGAGCAAAACAGGAUUAGAUACCCUGGUAGUCCACGCCGUAAACGAUGGAUGCUAGCCGUUGGGGGGUUUACCUCUCAGUGGCGCAGCUAACGCCUUAAGCAUCCCGCCUGGGGAGUACGGUCGCAAGAUUAAAACUUAAAUGAAUUGACGGGGUCAUAGCUGUUUCCU